GGGGAUGAAUUGAUUCGACGUAACGAGCUCUUUACCAUCUGCAAGCCGUUUUGGACAUAACGUAAAAAUUCCAAAAUACAUCUGCAAUUUCAACAUUACAGAACUUGGUCGCGAAGACCGUAGACACAGCCAAAAGCCUAGUCUUUGGUUCUAACGUCCAACUCGCAGGCGUUUUCGCCUAAGAGCAUUCAUGCCGUCUUUCUCACUGAUGGAGCGGUAUGGGUGGAAACACAGUCAGUGUGGUAGCGAGUGCUCGAACGCGGCAUUCGAAUAAACUUUAGCGUUAGGGGAAAAAGUAUGGUUGGUUUGCUUCCCGCUUUUUCCUUCACCAAAAGCAUUCUACGCUUGUAGACGAUGAUAGAUUUCUCUUACGGACCGCGGCUCAUUACCGCGCAUCUCCACAC
rfam:Microgenomates bacterium GW2011_GWB1_45_17 TX00_C0007, whole genome shotgun sequence.